UUGUUUCUAUUAAGCUCACAUAACAAUCUAAACAUUACAGAGCUAUUUAUAGUGUGAUCUGGAUUCUUCUACAACGUGUAAAGCAUGAGUUGAGAACUAGCUGAUAGUAACAAACUUUUGGAAGGAACUUAACAAACUUCGAAUCUAAUGACACUCUGCAUAACAGAAUGACAGCUUGGCAACUGAUGACGUGGCAAUCUGACUCAGCUUACAUUUUCUUAACAUAGUUCAAAUAUAUGUAAGCGAGACAGAGAAUCGUGUGUUUUUAAUUAGUUGCAAUAUGAAAUAGCUAAUUAAUAUAAUGUGAAUUUCAUCAAAUAAAAUAAUUGGAAAGUUAUUCAAAUGUGCAAGAAAAAAACCUAAUCCCCAUUAUUAAGAAUGAUUUAUUUAACCAAACGGUUGUGGCUCAGUUGGCAACGCAGGCUGGGUAAGUGGGAAGAGCUCUCGGGUUCGAUCCCCACUAAACACACCAUUUGGGAGGGGUAAAGAGCCUUAACUGUGACUACACCCCGAAUCCGAAUUAGUCGGGGCCCAAUGCGGUCGCCGGAAAUCGGGUGGUUUAAACCAAAAAAAAAAAAAA
rnacentral:lncRNA from 1 species